rnacentral:sRNA from 1 species
UACUUGAUUACACCAACGGCUAGGUAAUC